GAGUUGGACAGGUUGGAUUAUUUGAAAAUAGCCUGGGUUGUGAGAGGAAAAUGAGCAGGCCAGAGGAAUUUGGAGCUGCCAGCAUCUUGGAGGCUGGAGAGCAGGGUGCAAUCACAGCUCACUGCAGCCUUAAACUCUUGGGCUCAAGCGAUCCUCCCACCUCAGCCUCCUGAGUAGCUGGGAUCACAGG
rnacentral:sRNA from 1 species